GGAAAUGAGAAAUUUUGUAACAAAACUUUUUCUCAUUUUGUGACUCCAUAAAUUUUUGACUAGUGAAUAGAAUAAGAUACUCAAAAAUUGUCUUUAGAGGAAUGGAUAUUUGAGUGCUCUUGGAGAAUUUUGCAUGCCAUGUAUGGUGAGCUCUUUGCGUUUAUCUCUUGUAUACUUGUAUAACUAGAACUUGCCCCGUUAGUCUUUCAAAGCUAAUUUUGAUUGUAUUUGUUAGAGAAAUAAUCAUAGGCCAUCUUUGUGAUUUUAGAAGCCACUUUAUCCUAAAAAAAUCCUUCCCAAGAAUGAAUGUAACCCCUAGUUACCCACUUUGAGCCUUUGAACCUUUCUUUGGCAAAUGCACUAUAAGUCGUGAACCAUUAUUUUUAUCCCUCUUUGAAGCAUGCCCUCCUCGAAAUUGAAAAUAUAAUUUGAGGCUAAAAGCCUAAGUUGGGGGUGGUAAAUAUGGACGGAAGUAAUUUUAGGGCCACGAAGUUGUAAGUAAAAUUCCUAGUUCUGUUAGCAUUGAAACCAAAUGAAUAGGAAAAGAGAGGACCUGGAAAAGGAAUGAGUUGCAAGAAAAAAAUAAAGGAAAAGUGGUGAACAAAGGAAGCAAAAUGUGGGCAUAUGAAAAGAGAGAAAACAAAGAAGAGUGGCCCAUAGUGUAAAAGAAGGAUUGACAAGUGUGGCGUAGAUAUUCAAGGAAUGGCGUAGCCAUGUAGUUCCUAAAUGAUAUCCGACCCUAAACUGAACCUACCUUACAAGCUUAAAAAGUCCUUCAAGAUCUCCAACCAUCUACUUUCUUUGUAGUGGCGGUGGAAAAUAGGGGCAAGCCUAUGGUAUGAUACUUGUUGCAUAGAGAUUUUGUUUGUAAGGGAGAGAGUUUUUACAUAUAAAAUAACUUGUUUCAUAUUAGGUAGUUUGGUUGUGGAAUUCUCUUUUUUGUGAGGUUGGCAUGUCAACAAGUUAAGGUGGGUGAUUGUGUCACCUCCCGAACAAUGAGAUAAAUGGAGUAUAGCUUAGUUUUGGUAAAAGAGUGAGUCACUUCUAGAGCAUUAGUUGUUGUUGUUUGAUUGCUUAUUGAAUUCUUGUGUGUCCUUUGAUAGUACAUCUUAUGAUGAAGGGAAUAGUUACCAAGCCCGUGUGCAAUGAGCCACUUGUGGUAGUGACUAAGGUUGAAGUCAUUGUGAUCUUCAAGGCACAAAGUUUGGGCAUAAAUAAUUGGGUCUUAUGGUAAGAGGUAGUAUUGCUUGAGGACAAGCAAAAGCUUUAAGUUGAGGUUGUUUAUAAGUGCUGAUUUUACCACUCAUUUGCACUAAAUAUACGUGCACUUUGACUUAUUUUGAAUGAAUAAAUGAGAUAUAAUUGUUAUUUAAUGCACUAAUAUCCACUCUUUGUAGGUAUAGAGAUAAAAGCGUAGAACAAUGUGGAUUGAAGCUAAAAAUGAUCAAAAGGGUGCAAGAAAGUGAAGUCGAAGACUUGGAGCAGGAAUUGACCUCGGUUACUGCGAUCGCAGUCUAGUGACCGCGGUCGUAGAAGUCAAGUAGAAGUCAGUCAACCGCGGUUGCGAAAGAUAACCACGGUCGCGUAGGCUCGCUUAUGACCAUACCUGCAUGAUCGCGACUUAGCGAAAGAAAGGAGCCGAAGGGCAAAACUGGAAACACACGUGGUCGAUCCAAAUUUUGACAAAAAACACUCAGACCCUAGCAUUAUGUGUCAUAUUAAAUCAUCCCUAAUUUUAGGUUUAGCUCUUGAGUUCAUAGCCUCCAUUUUUGGAGAAGAAAAUAUUGAACAAAUUGUACGUGAAGAAUAUUUUGGAGAACUUCAAAGAGGAGGAA
rnacentral:lncRNA from 1 species